rnacentral:rRNA from 1 species
AGGUAUCACUUAAGUGAAUAAAAUAGCUUUCGUGAAGCGAACCCGGCGAACUGAAACAUCUCAGUAGCUCGAGGAAAAGACAUCAACCGAGAUUCCGUUAGUAGUGGCGAGCGAACGCGGACCAGGCCAGUGCCUGAAUUUCAACUAGCAGAAACCUUUGGAAAGAGGUGCCAUAGCGGGUGACAGCCCCGUAUGCGAAAGUGAGAAUUCAGGACUUGAGUAGGGCGGGACACGUGUAAUCCUGUCUGAACAUAGGGGGACCACCCUCUAAGCCUAAAUACUCGUAUGCGACCGAUAGCGAACUAGUACCGUGAGGGAAAGGUGAAAAGCACCCCGAUGAGGGGAGUGAAACAGUACCUGAAACGGAUUGCCUACAAGCAGUUGGAGGGUCCUUGAGGCCUGACAGCGUACCUCUUGCAUAAUGGGUCUGUGACUUAAUGUAUCAAGCAAGCUUAAGCCGUUAGGUGUAGGCGCAGCGAAAGCGAGUCUGAAUAGGGCGCCAGAGUUUGAUGUAUUAGACCCGAAACCCGGCGAUCUAGGCAUGACCAGGAUGAAGGUGCGGUAACACGCACUGGAGGUCCGAACCGAUUAACGUUGAAAAGUUACCGGAUGAGUUGUGUUUAGGGGUGAAAGGCCAAUCAAGCCGGGAAAUAGCUGGUUCUCCGCGAAAACUAUUGAGGUAGUGCCUCGAGCGAAUACCGUAGGGGGUAGAGCACUGGAUGGAUGCGGGGGUCGCGAGACCUACCAACUCUAACCAAACUCCGAAUACCCAAGAGUACUAUCCGGCAGACAGACGGUGGGUGCUAACGUCCAUCGUCAAAAGGGAAACAACCCUGACCGCCAGCUAAGGCCCCCAAAUCAUGGCUAAGUGUGAAAGGAUGUGGGGAUCCCAAAACAA